rfam:Afipia sp. 64-13 SCNpilot_expt_1000_bf_scaffold_448, whole genome shotgun sequence.
CGGAGUAUAGCGCAGCCCGGUAGCGCACCUGCUUCGGGAGCAGGGGGUCGCAGGUUCAAAUCCUGCUACUCCGA